UACGAAGGGGGCUAGCGUUGCUCGGAAUCACUGGGCGUAAAGGGUGCGUAGGCGGGUCUUUAAGUCAGAGGUGAAAUCCUGGAGCUCAACUCCAGAACUGCCUUUGAUACUGAGGGUCUUGAGUUCGGAAGAGGUGAGUGGAACUGCGAGUGUAGAGGUGAAAUUCGUAGAUAUUCGGAGGAACACCAGUGGCGAAGGCGGCUCACUGGUCCGGUACUGACGCUGAGGUGCGAAAGCGUGGGGAGCAAACAGG
rnacentral:rRNA from 1 species